rnacentral:rRNA from 1 species
ACGGGAGGCAGCAGUGGGGAAUAUUGGACAAUGGGCGCAAGCCUGAUCCAGCAAUGCCGCGUGGGUGAAGACGGCCUGCGGGUUGUAAAGCCCUUUAGGCGGGGAGGAACGACGGGACGCGAAUACCGUUUCGAAGUGACGUUACCCGCAGAAUAAGCACCGGCUAACUCCGUGCCAGCAGCCGCGGUAAUACGGAGGGUGCGAGCGUUAAUCGGAAUUACUGGGCGUAAAGCGUGCGUAGGCGGUGGGGUCAGUCAGCCGUGAAAGCCCUGGGCUUAACCUGGGAACGGCGGUUGAGACGGCCCGACUUGAGUGGGCUAGAGGAUCGUGGAAUUCCGGGUGUAGCGGUGAAAUGCGUAGAGAUCCGGAGGAACACCGAUGGCGAAGGCAGCGGUCUGGGGCCA